UACGUAGGUGGCAAGCGUUGUCCGGAUUUACUGGGUGUAAAGGGCGUGCAGCCGGAGAGGCAAGUCAGAUGUGAAAUCCGCGGGCUCAACCCGCGAACUGCAUUUGAAACUGUUAUUCUAGAGUAUGGGAGAGGUAGGUGGAAUUCUUGGUGUAGGGGUAAAAUCCGUAGAGAUCAAGAGGAAUACCCAUUGCGAAGGCGACCUGCUAGAACAUAACUGACGCUGAUGCGCGAAAGCGUGGGGAGCAAACAGG
rnacentral:rRNA from 1 species